AAUAUUGCGCAAUGGGCGAAAGCCUGACGCAGCGACGCCGCGUGAGUGAUGAAGGCCUUCGGGUCGUAAAGCUCUGUCUUAAGGGAAGAUAAUGACAGUACCUUAAGUGGAAGACCCGGCUAACUACGUGCCAGCAGCCGCGGUAAUACGUAGGGGGCGAGCGUUGGCCGGAAUUACUGGGUGUAAAGGGCCCGUAGGCGGUUAUGUAAGUCAGCUGUGAAAGUCCAGGGCUUAACCCUGGAAUUGCAAUUGAAACUAGAUAACUUGAGUUAAGGAGAGGAGAGCGGAAUUCCUAGUGUAGCGGUGAAAUGCGUAGAUAUUAGGAAGAACACCAGUGGCGAAGGCGGCUCUCUGGACUUAAACUGACGCUGAGGGGCGAAAGCGUGGGUAGCGAACA
rnacentral:rRNA from 1 species